AACGAACGCUGGCGGCAGGCCUAACACAUGCAAGUCGAACGCCGUAGCAAUACGGAGUGGCAGACGGGUGAGUAACACGUGGGAACGUACCUUUCGGUUCGGAAUAACUCAGGGAAACUUGAGCUAAUACCGGAUACGUGCGAGAGCAGAAAGAUUUAUCGCCGAAAGAUCGGCCCGCGUCCGAUUAGCUAGUUGGUGAGGUAACGGCUCACCAAGGCGACGAUCGGUAGCUGGUCUGAGAGGAUGAUCAGCCACACUGGGACUGAGACACGGCCCAGACUCCUACGGGAGGCAGCAGUGGGGAAUAUUGGACAAUGGGCGCAAGCCUGAUCCAGCCAUGCCGCGUGAGUGAAGAAGG
rnacentral:rRNA from 1 species